AGUGAACGCUGGCGGUAGGCCUAACACAUGCAAGUCGAACGGCAGCACAGGAGAGCUUGCUCUCUGGGUGGCGAGUGGCGGACGGGUGAGGAAUACAUCGGAAUCUACUUUUUCGUGGGGGAUAACGUAGAGAAACUUACGCUAAUACCGCAUACGACCUACGGGUGAAAGCAGGGGACCUUCGGGCCUUGCGCGAUUGAAUGAGCCGGUGUCGGAUGAGCUAGUUGGCGGGGUAAAGGCCCACCAAGGCGACGAUCCGUAGCUGGUCUGAGAGGAUGAUCAGCCACAGUGGAACUGAGACACGGGCCAGACUCCUACGGGAGGCAGCAGUGGGGAAUAUUGGACAAUGGGCGCAAGCCUGAUCCAGCCAUACCGCGUGGGUGAAGAAGGCCUUCGGGUUGUAAAGCCCUUUUGUUGGGAAAGAAAUCCAUCUGGUUAAUACCCGGGUGGGAUGACGGUACCCAAAGAAUAAGCACCGGCUAACUUCGUGCCAGCCGCCGCGGUAA
rnacentral:rRNA from 1 species